UACGUAGGGGGCUAGCGUUGUCCGGAAUCAUUGGGCGUAAAGAGCGCGUAGGCGGCCCGGUAAGUCCGCUGUAAAAGUCAAAGGCUCAACCUUUGAAGGUCAGUGGAUACUGCCGGGCUAGAGUCCGGAGGAGGCGAGUGGAAUUCCCGGUGUAGCGGUGAAAUGCGCAGAUAUCGGGAAGAACACCCGUGGCGAAGGCGGUUCUAGCUGGG
rnacentral:rRNA from 1 species